rnacentral:rRNA from 1 species
GACGAACGCUGGCGGCGUGCUUAACACAUGCAAGUCGAACGGAAAGGCCCCUUUGGGGGUACUCGAGUGGCGAACGGGUGAGUAACACGUGAGUAACCUGCCCUUGACUUCGGGAUAACUUCAGGAAACUGGGGCUAAUACCGGUUAGGAAUCAUUGCUGCAUGGGGGGGGUUGGAAAGCUUCGGCGGUUUUGGAUGGACUCGCGGCUUAUCAGCUUGUUGGUGGGGUAGUGGCUUACCGAGGCUUUGACGGGUAGCCGGACUGAGAGGGCGACCGGCCACAUUGGGACUGAGAUACGGCCCAGACUCCUACGGGAGGCAGCAGUGGGGAAUAUUGCACAAUGGGCGGAAGCCUGAUGCAGCAACGCCGCGUGCGGGAUGACGGCCUUCGGGUUGUAGACCGCUUUCAGCAGGGGCGAAGCUUGUGGUGACGGUACCUGCAGAAGAAGCACCGGCUAACUACGUG